rnacentral:rRNA from 1 species
AUUGAACGCUGGCGGCAGGCUUAACACAUGCAAGUCGAGCGGGGAAAGGUAGCUUGCUACCUGACCUAGCGGCGGACGGGUGAGUAAUGCUUAGGAAUCUGCCUAUUAGUGGGGGACAACAUCUCGAAAGGGAUGCUAAUACCGCAUACGUCCUACGGUAGAAAGCAGGGGACCUUCGGGCCUUGCGCUAAUAGAUGAGCCUAAGUCGGAUUAGCUAGUUGGUGGGGUAAAGGCCUACCAAGGCGACGAUCUGUAGCGGGUCUGAGAGGAUGAUCCGCCACACUGGGACUGAGACACGGCCCAGACUCCUACGGGAGGCAGCAGUGGGGAAUAUUGGACAAUGGGGGGAACCCUGAUCCAGCCAUGCCGCGUGUGUGAAGAAGGCCUUUUGGUUGUAAAGCACUUUAAGCGAGGAGGAGGCUACCGAGAUUAAUACUCUUGGAUAGUGGACGUUACUCGCAGAAUAAGCACCGGCUAACUCUGUG